rnacentral:rRNA from 1 species
UACGGGGGGUGCGAGCGUUGUCCGGAAUCACUGGGCGUAAAGGGCGCGUAGGUGGUUUGAUAAGGGUGUGGUGAAAGCCCGGGGCUCAACCCCGGGACUGCAGGGGAUACUGCUCGACUGGAGACAAGCAGAGGUUGGUAGAAUUCCGGGUGUAGCGGUGGAAUGCGUAGAGAUCCGGAGGAAUACCAGAGGCGAAGGCGGCCAACUGGGCUUGUUCUGACGCUGAGGAGCGAAAGCCAGGGGAGCAAACGGG